GCAUGUGCCGACAAAACACAAGCCGAAAACUGCAUUAUUUAUGGAAAAAUACUAAGACAGACGGCAACGAGUUUUGAUAAAUUGAAGCACUGAAAAACGCCAAAGAAAAUGAAAAAUAAACAAGAAAGGAAACCACUUUUCGAUUGAGUGAAGACCUCAAAUACUCUUGCCGAUCUAUUGGGGAUCAAAUGGCAAUGCACAAGUAUUUUCCGAGUGCUACAAAAGGGUAUCCGAAAAAUAUCUGAAGCCACAGAA